rnacentral:rRNA from 1 species
GCGAACGCUGGCGGCAGGCCUAAUACAUGCAAGUCGAGCGGUCCCUUCGGGGGCAGCGGCGGACGGGUGAGUAACGCGUGGGAACGUGCCCUUUGGUACGGAACAACUGAGGGAAACUUCAGCUAAUACCGUAUGUGCCCUUUGGGGGAAAGAUUUAUCGCCAUUGGAGCGGCCCGCGUUAGAUUAGCUAGUUGGUAGGGUAAAGGCCUACCAAGGCGACGAUCUAUAGCUGGUCUGAGAGGAUGAUCAGCCACACUGGGACUGAGACACGGCCCAGACUCCUACGGGAGGCAGCAGUAGGGAAUCUUGCGCAAUGGGCGAAAGCCUGACGCAGCCAUGCCGCGUGAGUGAUGAAGGUCUUAGGAUUGUAAAAUUCUUUCACCGGGGACGAUAAUGACGGUACCCGGAGAAGAAGCCCCGGCUAACUUCGUGCCAGCAGCCGCCGUAA